rnacentral:rRNA from 1 species
UACAGAGGGUGCAAGCGUUAAUCGGAAUUACUGGGCGUAAAGAGCGUGUAGGCGGCCACGCAGGUCCGUUGUGAAAACUGGAGGCUCAACCUCCAGCUGUCGACGGAAACCGUGUGGCUAGAGUCCGGAAGAGGAGAGUGGAAUUCCUGGUGUAGCGGUGAAAUGCGCAGAUAUCAGGAAGAACACCAAUGGCGAAGGCAGCUCUCUGGGACGGUACUGACGCUGAGACGCGAAAGCGUGGGGAGCGAACAGG